GAGCCGUGGGGGCGUGUCGGCGAGCAGGGCGGGGCGCCGCGGAAGGCCUGGGGCUCGCGCGGGUGACCUUGCAGGGAAGACCGAGACUAAGCGAGUCCCCCGUUGGCCCCCUGUUGGUCCCCUCCUCCUUGAGUGGUUGCACUUGGCAAGCAGGGUGGUGAGAGGGCAGAGCUCCCAGGUAUCCUGGAACUAAGUCUGCGUUCCUCCCUGUUAAUGGUGGGCCUUGGCCGACCUCGGUGCCUCUCNUGCUGUACCUCCACACCUCCAUCUGGCCUGGCCCACGGUAGGCGCUCAGUAGAUCUUGGGAAUAAUUGCGACGAGCCUAGACCACUAGGCAGAGAUGAGCCCGGUGAGAGGGAGCCACGGAUGCCAAGAUGGGGCUGGGAAGAAAGAAGGGAGAAGGCAACCCAGAGUGAGUCCCCAAGGGACAGAGGUGGGGCCCUGGGCCUGGCCCGAGGCAGGAGUCUGGGCUUGGCUUGUUUUCUCAGGGUCUGUCAGGAAAGGAGUGGAGGACAGGUCAGGGGACUUCUGGGUGAGGCCUCUGCUUUGUCCUGGGCCCUGGGCUGCAUUGCAGUUGAUAAUCAUGGGGUCCCCCAGUCUUGGCGGAUCCCCUGAGAAUGCCAGGUACUAGGCACUUCCCACCUGUCCACCCAGCUCCAGUCCAGAUGCCCAGUCUCAGACUCUCCCCAUUGGGCAUGCUGUGUAAGAGGCAGAGGAUCUGAGCAAUGUGGUGCCAGCAUUAUGUCCUGCUGCCUCAGGUCUCCCUGGCCCAGAGCAUGACAGGACAGAUCCCACGCCAGCUGGGGAGUAUCAGCAGUCGGAGGCUGUGAGGACAGAUCACAUGGCACUGAAGGACAGUCUGGGGUGAGUGCAAUGUCAUCGAAGAGGUCAAGGGUGGAGGCCUCUAGGGCAGCAAGGCUCAGGGUGGCGCUGGUAUGGGGUGCCUCCAUGGGGGCCAUAGCACAAGCCACCCCCAGGAAGGGAGAUGGAGGCGGCAAGGGUGGCCUUCUGGCUGGCUUUCUCUGGGGGGUUGCCUCCUGGGACAGGAUGGAUAGGGCCAGGCUCUGGGUGGCAGCCUCAAUCUUGGCGAAUUGCCUGCAAGAGAGACGGGUGUUAGCUGUGUGACUACAAAG
rnacentral:lncRNA from 1 species